rnacentral:rRNA from 1 species
GAUGAACGCUGGCGGCGUGCCUAAUACAUGCAAGUCGAGCGAACGGACGAGAAGCUUGCUUCUCUGCUGUUAGCGGCGGACGGGUGAGUAACACGUGGAUAACCUACCUAUAAGACUGGGAUAACUUCGGGAAACCGGAGCUAAUACCGGAUAAUAUUUUGAACCGCAUGGUUCAUAAGUGAAAGACGGUCUUGCUGUCACUUAUAGAUGGAUCCGCGUUGCAUUAGCUAGUUGGUAAGGUAACGGCUUACCAAGGCAACGAUGCAUAGCCGACCUGAGAGGGUGAUCGGCCACACUGGAACUGAGACACGGUCCAGACUCCUACGGGAGGCAGCAGUAGGGAAUCUUCCGCAAUGGGCGAAAGCCUGACGGAGCAACGCCGCGUGAGUGAUGAAGGUCUUCGGAUCGUAAAACUCUGUUAUUAGGGAAGAACAUAUGUGUAAGUAACUGUGCACAUCUUGACGGUACCUAAUCAGAAAGCCACGGCUAACUACGUG